rnacentral:lncRNA from 1 species
GACACAGAAUCCCAAGCAGGCUCCAGGCUUUGAGCUGUCAGCACAGAGCCGGAUGAGGGGCUCGAACUCACAAACCGUGAGAUCAUGACCUGAUCCGAAGUCGGACGCUUAACUGAUGGAGCCACCCAGGCGCCCCAAGAAACCGGUCUCCUUGAUGAAUCUGGAAGAAACAUAAAAGAAGAGUCAUCUUGCUCGUCACUGUGUCUCCAUAGCAAGGUUCAUAACCCUAAGAAUCUGGGGAUGAGAUUCACUUAUUUCUGAAGACUAUCCGAGGAGUGCCAGAACAUCCAAACAGAAAUCUGUCGAAGGCUGUCGAUUUUCAUGUUCUUCCCCCCAGAAGAAGUGACAAAAAUUAUAGCUGAAGUCCACCGUUCAGUCUUCAACCUCAUUUCGACUAUCUGUUUCACCUCCUACCUGGAAAUUUCGAGACGCCAAAAGGCCAGGAGUCACCAGCCUCUUUUCUCCUUGUUUCCACCCUCUUCACUCUGAGAGGUCUUGCUAUCCACAAACUGGGAUCCAGUUUGGAAGUGGCCGUACGGGUUGAGAAGAAGCAAAACAGAGGGGCUGAGUAAUUCUUCCUUAAAAUACUUGGCCCUGGAUACAUUCUGGAUGCAGGUGCAGAGGAAAUGAUCUUUGGACGAUGAUGAAUUAUGAGGCACACGGUUAAAAUGAAGUCAGCCAAGCUCAAAUGCUCAGAUCUUCAUCCUGGUUCGAUUUGAGGCUUGAGUUAAAGUCUUUCAAGGUAUUUGGAAGUACAUCUCGGUGCGAUAUUACACCGUAUCGCAGCCUACUGAACACGCAUAUAUGGCUUAGAGAGGCUGGGAGGCCACAAAACGGUGAGCUGUCCUACGUGCUUUCUCGCAUGCACACUGCAUCUGAAAGGGAGAAGCUUUCAGGGGGCUUAGAAAUGCAAGUGUUUUUGAAUUCAGCUCAUCAGAUCUCCUUGGAGGAGGAGGAUUAGAGGUUGGGGUCAGGUAAGAAAUCCAAAGAAUGGCAGAUGCUGAGGCACGAUGCUGCUUC